AUUGAACGCUGGCGGCAGGCCUAACACAUGCAAGUCGAGCGGAUGAAGGGAGCUUGCUCCUGGAUUCAGCGGCGGACGGGUGAGUAAUGCCUAGGAAUCUGCCUGGUAGUGGGGGAUAACGUCCGGAAACGGGCGCUAAUACCGCAUACGUCCUGAGGGAGAAAGUGGGGGAUCUUCGGACCUCACGCUAUCAGAGGAGCCUAGGUCGGAUUAGCUAGUUGGUGGGGUAAAGGCCUACCAAGGCGACGAUCCGUAACUGGUCUGAGAGGAUGAUCAGUCACACUGGAACUGAGACACGGUCCAGACUCCUACGGGAGGCAGCAGUGGGGAAUAUUGGACAAUGGGCGAAAGCCUGAUCCAGCCAUGCCGCGUGUGUGAAGAAGGUCUUCGGAUUGUAAAGCACUUUAAGUUGGGAGGAAGGGCAGUAAGCUAAUACCUUGCUGUUUUGACGUUACCAACAGAAUAAGCACCGGCUAACUUCGUG
rnacentral:rRNA from 1 species